ACAGUCACACGAGUUGAUCAUGGCUCAGGAUGAACGCUGGCGGCGUGCCUAAUACAUGCAAGUCGAACGGUGUAUAUAAUUUAUUAUAUACAUAGUGGCGAACGGGUGAGUAACGCGUUGGUGACCUGCCCUAAAGCGGGGGACAACAGUUCGAAAGGGCUGCUAAUACCCCAUGUGGUUGUUCGGGAUUAGAAGCGGACAACUAAAGGAUAGCCCUGUGAGGGGAAAUUCGCUUUAGGAGGGGCCUGCGUCCCAUCAGCUAGUUGGUAGGGUAAAGGCCUACCAAGGCGUAGACGGGUAGGGGACCUGAGAGGGUGGCCCCCCACAAUGGAACUGAAACACGGUCCAUACACCUACGGGUGGCAGCAGUAGGGAAUAUUGCACCAUGGACGGAAGUCUGAUGCAGCAACGCCGCGUGAGUGAUGAAGGCCUUGGGUCGUAAAACUACUUUUCUAGGGGAAGAGGAAGGACGGUACCCUUGGAAUAAGCAUCGGCUAACUAACGUG
rnacentral:rRNA from 1 species